rnacentral:rRNA from 1 species
GACGAACGCUGGCGGCGUGCCUAAUACAUGCAAGUCGAACGCUGAAGGAGGAGCUUGCUCUUCUGGAUGAGUUGCGAACGGGUGAGUAACGCGUAGGCAACCUGCCUGGUAGCGGGGGAUAACUAUUGGAAACGAUAGCUAAUACCGCAUAAGAGUAGAUGUUGCAUGACAUUCACUUAAAAGUUGCACUUGCAUCACUACCAGAUGGACCUGCGUUGUAUUAGCUAAGUGGUGGGGUAACGGCUUACCAAGGCGACGGUACAUAGCCGGCUCGAGAGGGGGAUCGGGCCACAUGGGAAUGAGGCACGGCCCAAGAUUCCACGGGGAGCAGCAGGAGGGGAACUUCGGAAAAUGAGGGAAGGCUGGCCGAAGAACGCCGCGGUGGUUGAAGAGGGUUUUGGGUCGGAAAACUCUGUUGUAAGGGAAGAACGAGUGUGAGGGUGAAAAGUUCACGCUGUGACGGUAUCUAACCAGAAAGCGACGGCUAACUACGUG